UGCCUAAUACAUGCAAGUCGAACGAGGGGUCUUUUCGUAAGAGGAGACAUUCCGAGUGGCGAACGGGUGAGGAACACGUAGACGACCUGCCCUGAAGAGGGGGAUAACGUUCCGAAAGGGAUGCUAAUACCCCAUAAGCUCACGGCGAUUAGAAGGCUGUGAGAAAAGGGAGCAACUCGCUUCAGGAGGGGUCUGCGGUCCAUCAGGUAGUUGGCGGGGUAACGGCCCACCAAGCCGAAGACGGAUAGGGGGCCUGAGAGGGUGGUCCCCCACACGGGCACUGAGAGACGGGCCCGACUCCUACGGGAGGCAGCAGUAAGGGAUAUUGCGCAAUGGGCGAAAGCCUGACGCAGCAACGCCGCGUGCCCGAUGAAGGCCUUCGGGUCGUAAAGGGC
rnacentral:rRNA from 1 species